GCGGCGGCAGGCGGCGCGGUUACCGGGGAGUCCGGAAGCGGCGCUGACAGGACGGUGCGCGGAGGCGCUGCGGGUCGAGGCGGCCAACGCCUGGUCGGGCCCGGCACAGCCCAGCCGAGCCCAGCCCAGCCGCGGGUCGGGACGGCCCGGCCCCGUCCGGCGAGGUGAGGCAGCGGGGCGGCAGCGUCGCCCGGCGGGGCGUCAGGGCCGCGGGGCCCUGUGGUGGCGCUGCCCCGCCGCACUGGGGCGCCCCCUGCCGGGCGGCGGCGGACAGGAGCUGCCGGGGGGGCGGCAGCGGCGGGGCCGGUGUUGGGCGCGCUCCCGGGGCCAAUGUCGCCCUGAGCCGUGCCGGGCCCCGCAGUAAGGCGGCGAUCGGGGAGCGGCGUACGGAAACCCGGCGAGGCGAGGGAGAAGCAGAAGUUUUAACCAUCUUCCCAUGGCAUCUGACUUUCUUGAGGAGGAGCAUGCACCCUAGAGCAGGAGCAGUGAGGCUCACGGUGAGGAAAAUGAAUCCAGCAGUCCAUCCUAUCCUGUACCUGCCUGAGUACAGGAAGAGACCUCAUACGAAGCCAGAUCACAUCUGGGAUUGCAGCUCUUUUUAACCAUAUUAAGUCCUAUUCAGAGUUAAUGAUGAGCUCAGUGAGAAUGGUCUAAACGAUGACGAAGAAGGGAAGAACAGAGUUGGAAGAUCCUGCCAUCAAUGACUGAGCCUCCCUGAAAUCUUCUUAUCAGUUACUGCCGAGAUGAGAAGGAUAACAGGAAGGAGGAGUGCUUAAGUGGUUUUAAUGACAGUUAAUUUCAUCUAUUUAUCAAAUGACAGGUUGUUUUUUCCUCAAAACUCGAUUGUCAUGACAAGAUGCUUUUGGAAGUCAUCUUUGUAAAAUAAAACUGACAAUUUUUAGGCUACAAAGAGCUAUUGUAUCUUUCUAUACAAUAUUGUCAUUAUGGUAAACCGCUGGAAAGUCUUUAUUUUUGAAGUAAUUUAACUUGCAUACUUCAUUCAUUUAUUUGAAUGUCUGUUGAAUGCCAUGUGAAAAGUUUCUUGCCAGAGUUCUUUUAUUCAAUGGAAUAGUUAUUCUUACAAUGCUCAAUUUAUUAUUGUCUAAAUUACUGUUGCCUUAGCCUCCCGCAAAAAUGUUUCUUUUUAGUAAUUCUUAAACAAAUAAGGAAUGAAUGAAGUUUUGUCCCUUUCGUGUUUUGAUCGGCAUAUUUUUCCUUUCAGUGAAAGCGUCUUCAGUUUUCAGAAUGACAGUAUUACAAAGAAAGGUUCUCCCCAGCCUGGGGAGAUGGUGUUGGCUCUCCUGCACCAUGAAGAGACUCAGGAGCACAAGCCUUUGGAGAAGGGGAGAGGUUGUCUGCACUUAGAUUUCUGAAUCUUGUGCACCUUUGGUUUUGGCUGACAGGGAUUUUUUCUGCUCUGUGGCAAGCAGUGUGUUACCACUGAAGUCCAAAAUGCCAGCUGUGAAAGAAGGUGAAAAUGAGGUCUGAAGAAUGGAGUGAGGCUUUGUUUUUUGUUGCUGAGGACUCACCGCGCUGUAAGUCUGCUGAUCCCCGCGUACAUAGACCAUCUCCUGCCUGCUAAUUAGCCCUCUCCAACGGGCUCUCUAGAAAUGCGCUGGAGAAGUUGUUUCAAAAAACCACCACAUCGUCAUAAAUAAGGAAACGGUAUGGUAUGUAACUAUUAUACACCGCUCGUUUGGCAGACUAUAAUUUAACAGAACAACAAUGAUCAGACUAGUAUAUCAGUUAAUUUUCAAAACAUUUUAUUCCACACAAAUUAGCUUAGGUCCUGGAGGGCAAAAUGACAAGAGGUUACUCGUACACUAUGUAUUUAAUUAAUUGAAAAAUGCUCAAAUUGCUUUUACAGUUGUUAUUAAAAAGUAGAAUCAGUGUUGCCAGUGCUCAACCAUAAUUAGAACCCCGGGGAAUUAAAUAUUUAGCAUUAGUAAUGUAACAGCACUUAGGACACAAAUUUCUAUUUUUGUAAUGAAAGCAAUACAGUGUAAGUGCAAAUGGCUGAAACGACAGCUGUGACAAGCGAACCAGCCUGGGAUAUUUCAAUAAGACACCUCGUCGGACAGCAAGUCUCACCGCAUUACUCGUUUGUAAGAGAUCUGCGAGUUUAAAUCCCAGUAGCCAGGCAUUACACCCAGUAUUUAGAUUUCUAAUUGCUCACAGGAUGAAUGGUCGGGCAAAUGUCAGGCCGUCAGCGGGGGAAGUCAGCGCCGUGUUUUUCCAAAUAACGCGGCGGAGGUGCGUGCCUUUGUCAGUGCGGGCAGGGACUGGGGGGCAGGUCCCGGGGCUGCCGAGGGAGGAAAAGAGAUCUUGUUUGUUUUAAGUUUAAUUACGUUUUAAACGUAAGUGCUUUCAGUGAUACAACGUGAAAAGUCGGAUAUUGGGCUCUAAUGAGCUGUAGUGGUAGAUGGCUGGAGACCCUGAGGGAUUCAUUCACUAAAUUAACUGGAUAAAAGUACUUGGUUUGGGCACGGUAGGAUGGCUGAGCUGUGCUCAAAAACUCCCUUUCAGAGCUGUCUCUCAUCCCUGGUUUCGUUCUAAACAGGCCGUGUAGCGACUUCCACAGCCGCCUGCUACAAUUGUUCAGCUUGUCAGAAGGUAUUACAU